rnacentral:lncRNA from 1 species
UUUUCACGAAGGGUCUAGACCAGCGGUUUCCGUCCUUCUCAGGCUGAACGCCAGAGUUAUUAUUAACUUGUCAGUGGCCGCACCUGUAAAAAUCAUGGUAAUACGUUGAACCUUAAAUGUCUAAACUGAAAAAAUUUUGUUUUAUAUGCAUGUCUAAUCAACUGUAUUACUCCAUAAUUCAGUACAGCAUAGUAUCUAUAAUAGCUACAGUACGCAUUUAUAAUUUUACAAAUCCUCCUGCAGGCUACAGCAUAUAGUUUUUGGGGGUUUUUUUAUUUAUUUAACUUUUAUGUAAAGUUACAGUGAUCCUUUGCAUCAACCAACCUGAAGGCUGAGAGUGGGUACACAGCUCCCACAAUGCAUUGCUUCUCACACUCCCUUUACACAAUCAUGUUAUGCAGUUUUCAAAUGCAGUUUCAGUUUAUCAUACAGGAUGGGAUGUCUCAGACCAGAAUAACAAUCUAGACUGAUAGACAGGAGGGUGUGGUGGCACAGUGGUGCAGUAGGUUGGACCGGAUCCUGCUCUCUGGUGGGUCUGGGGUUCGAAUCCUGCUCGGGGUGCCUUGCGACGGACUGGUGUCCUGUCCUGGGUGUGUCCCCUUACACCAUGUGUUGCUGGGUUAUGCUCCGGUUCCCAGCGACCCUGUAUGGGACAAGCGGUUCAGAUAGUGUGUGUGGACUGAUGGACAUACAGGAAAUAUACUGGAUGUGGUACACUGAAUAAGGGGAUUAAUGUCGUAUGAAUGCAUGUGAAACAGCUGUGAGGAAAAUGAGCUCUGCACUGUGGUUUUGCUGUUUUUUUUUUUUUUUUUUUUUUACAAGGUGUUUCUCCUCAUUUUCCAGAGCAGCACCAUCAUCAACACAGCCAUGCUGAGCAGUCAGCCUGUUUCCCUUUCUGUCAUCGUCCUCGCGGUAGGGGGCGAUGGAAAAGUGUCAGAUGUCACCGCUGCCGUCACAUGUCACUCAGACAAUGAAGACGUUGUCAAGGUGUCCAGUGAUUGUUCCGCCGUCUUUGUUGACGGAAGUGAAUCGGGAGUGGGCGGCGUGUGUGUGGGAGUCGAGUUUUCCCUGGGCACAUUCAGCGGUGCCCUCUGUCUGUCUGUCUGGGCUCCUGUUGUUCCAUUUCUCAUCUUGCUGUCUGACCCAGUACUCAACGCAAUCGAGGGCUGGAGUUACUACAAUGAGGCUGGGUGAGUCUUCUCGACCCGACCAGUCGAACACCAAU